ACCCAAGGGAGUUGGGUGCUGAUAUGAUAAUUAUGGAGCAUGCAGAAUAACAAAUAACAUGCUGUCUGGGGUGCCAUGGAGAAUUACAACGUUGGAAGAGAGAAGAGGAAGCAGCUCCUUCUAAUGUUAUCUCAGCAUGAGACUGACCCGCUUGAAGUUUGGGCACAACCCACCAACUCAAAGUAUUCCUCCGGUUUUCUUCAGUUAAUCGAUAUUAUAAAUAUGUUUAUUGGAAUAUUGCAUGUAGUGGAUUUUUUUUGUUUGUUUGGUAAAG